UUUAUGGAGAGUUUGAUCCUGGCUCAGGAUGAACGCUGGCGGCGUGCCUAAUACAUGCAAGUCGAGCGAACAGAUAAGGAGCUUGCUCCUUUGACGUUAGCGGCGGACGGGUGAGU
rnacentral:rRNA from 1 species